rnacentral:lncRNA from 1 species
AAAAAAAAAUAAAUGGAAAAAACAACAACAACAAAAAUACAAAUGUGAAGAAGGUCUGCCAGCUCCUAUGCUUUGGUUUAAAGAGCAGUGUUCCAACAGGAGUCUACAAAAAAUUCCUCCUUGGGCUCGUGUUGUGAUGUUGAGCUGUGUCUGACCUCCCCAAGGACCUGAAACCUGAAGCAGCACAUGGAAUAGCAUCUAGUUACUUUAGUAGUUACGAAGUGUGUUAACACGCUUGGCCGCGUUAUUCAAUUGUAGGCAUUUAAUUGUUCUUUAAUUUCUAAUUAUCUCUUGGCUCUUUUUGUUAUUUUCAGAGUGUUUGCCGAAGAAUAUCCCACGUGUUCUUGAUAGUGACUCUGAAGGAAGUGAAUUCUCUGAUAUCUCUGCCUAUGAAGAUGGUGUCAGUCUGCACACGGACACUGACGUGGAAGACUUGUGUGGUGACAUCUCCAGUAUGCUUGAGGAUGUAACUUUCCCUCGGCAGCAAGCUGCUUCGACGUAUGAGGUGGAGGACUGGGAUAAAGAGUUGGAGGAGUCUGAAUGUAAUCCUUAUGAUUGUUCUGCUGAAAGUCUUGUUCAACUCUGCAUUUCUGAAGAAGCAUCUAGUAACGUAUACUAGUGGAUGGCACCAGGAUGAAAAGUGGAGUUUAACCUAGCAAGGAGGAAGUGGAGAAGAGUCCCCUGUUAAGCAUAUCAGAUGAUCUGAACUCAGAAGCCGUUAUAGUAAAUGGAGCAGGAAUUUGUUGCCAUGUUUGUAGUUGGGCAGUACACUUCAAAGCUUGGAAAGUGUCCCAUGUUCCUUUUCCCCCUGUGAGGGGAGGAUGUUUGCCUUCUUAUAAGGGAUGCCUGGGAUAAAGUUUCAAGCAGGAGAAUUAGAAGUUCUCUGUUCAGUUCCUUGUUUUGCCGUGUAGCUUUGUGCAUAUAGGACGUACCUUUGCAGUUCUUUCCCACUGGACUCACUGCUGGAGUUGCGACAAAAUUUCCAUCUCGUGCAGUAGAGUUGUGAGUGACCUGAUUGCUAUUCAUGGGCAGUUUGUGCUAUAGAAUAGUGAAACAAACAUUAUUAUUAAAUACAUUUCAAAUGAAGAGGCAAUGAGCAGAGUAGUUUUCCAAAAUUAGGACGACAAAGUAUUUGGGCUGAUGAAGUUGUGUAACAUCAAAGCCUGCAGCAGUAUCAUGUCUGACCUGGAGAAAUGUGUGUUUUGAGGGUAUCUGUCUGAAUAAAUGGAAUCUUCCAGUAAACA